rnacentral:rRNA from 1 species
UGGGGAAUCUUGCACAAUGCGCGAAAGCGUGAUGCAGCAACGCCGCGUGCGGGAAGAAGGCCUUAGGGUUGUAAACCGCUUUCAGUUGGGACGAAGCUUCACGGGUUAAUAGCUCAUCGGAGUGACGGUACCUUCAGAAGAAGCGCCGGCUAACUACGUGCCAGCAGCCGCGGUAAUACGUAGGGCGCGAGCGUUGUCCGGAAUCAUUGGGCGUAAAGCGCGUGUAGGCGGCUUAGUAAGUCUACUGUGAAAGUCCAGGGCUCAACCCUGGAAUGUCGGUGGAUACUGCUGAGCUGGAGUACGGGAGGGGCGAGUGGAAUUCCUGGUGUAGCGGUGGAAUGCGCAGAUAUCAGGAGGAACACCUAUGGCGAAGGCAGCUCGCUGGAACGUUACUGACGCUGAGACGCGAAAGCGUGGGGAGCAAACAG